GUAUCAUGGCUCAGGAUGAACGCUGGCGGCGUGCUUAACACAUGCAAGUCGAGCGAAGCACUUAGGAAAGAUUCUUCGGAUGAUUUCCUAUUUGACUGAGCGGCGGACGGGUGAAGUAACGCGUGGUAACCUGCCUCAUACAGGGGGAUAACAGUUAGAAAUGAACUGCUAAUACCGCAUAAGACCACAGCACCGCAUGGUGCAGGGGUAAAAACUCCGGUGGUAUGAGAUGGACCCGCG
rnacentral:rRNA from 1 species